GGGAUGGAUUUUCCUUUGAUUGCUUGCAUUUUGUUGUUGGGUUUUUGCUUCUGUGUUGUUUUUGAGGGCAUCCAGAUAGAAUGACUACUUUAUUGUUCAAUUCGGAAUUAAAUUUUGGAAGCCUGAAUUGGUAUGCGUGUUUGAGAAUUGGUUGAAUUUUUUUGAUUAGUUGCAUUUGUAGAUAUUGGGGUUUUGUUUUUGUUGUUUUCUUGAAGAUACAUAGAUAAAAAUGACUUGCUAAUUAU
rnacentral:misc_RNA from 1 species